CGGGGGCCGGCGCGGCUCCCGCUCCACACGCGCCUGGGAUACUGCCCUGGGUCGCCCUUCAGGGAUGCGUCUCCGGCAAGGUGUAGGCCACGGCCCCUAAAGCGGCCCAUCACCCCCGUGCAAACAGGCACCCUUUAUGCGGGCGGGAGCCCACUCCGAGCUCGCGGAGACGCCCGGAGGCGCCACCACGGAAAGGGGCGUGCGGCGACGGCGGAAGACAGCUGCAGGUGGGCGGGGAUGUGACACCUGGCCCAGGUGCGUCGCCGGGAAUGCGGGGCCGCGUCGCUCGGCGCCUUCCGGAGUCCUAUUCCUCCGGCCUCUCGAAUCCCUGGAAUGUCUCUGGAUACGGGCCUCAGCCCUCACCCCCGCGGAGACCCGCCCCUCACGCCUGGUCCAUCCCAACCGGCUGCGUUCUCCGCGUCCGCCAUCGGAGGGAGCCAUCGGCCGCUGGUCCGGAAGAGCCCUGGCUGCGCCGGCCACCGUCGGUCCGCAAGGUCCUCCUGCCGCCUUCCAGCCUCCCUGCAAGGUGUCGUCCCCUCUAACAGACAUGACAGGACUUGUGAACCUCCGGGAGAUGGGACCUCCUCCCCUCCUCACUCUUUACAGUUACCAUCAACUGUAGCACCACCUGGUAACGUUUCCUCAUCUAUAAAACGGGGACUAAAUAGAGCCCUGCCUGCAUGAGGUUGCUGCGAGAGGGUUGGAUGAACUGACCGACACUCGAAAACAAUGCCGAAAUGUUCAGUAAGUUAUUUGCACGUCGUGCUACCUUAUAUAUGCAUAAGCACUCUGUGAGGUAAGUACUUCUUAGGGAAGCUGAAGCUGGGAGAGCUUUCGUAAUCACUUGCUUAACUUUGACAUAGUCCUUUGUGGCUACACCGUCAUUUGAGCCUCAGAAAAUGAACAGUGCUUUUAGGGUCACUGGCCUUUGGCUAUAGAUUCUCUGCAACAUGUCCCUAGGAGAGGAACCGGCUUAAAGCAGCCCAAAGGUUGGCUUUGCCAGGGAGAGGUCUCAUGAGCAACUGAACUGUGGCAUCUUCAGUGGUCAUCGCUGCUAACCAUAACAGAGUUUGGCUCGUGGGUCUCUCCAGCACCAUCCUGUCGCAGUUUUUGAUGAUUUCAAUAUCCGUACUGAUGAGACUUCCAAUAUCCGGGCGUGGCAGUUGCUUGAACACAGAUCUGCAUAGAUCUCACGCUCCACGAUACCCAGUGGCUGUGCCCAGAUGUUGUCCUUGCCGCUCCUCAGCACCAUCUCACUUCCCAAUUCGGCGAGAAAACAGAAGCCACCAAGAGACUAAAAGCUCCUAAUUCACCACCACGCUCCGCUGUGCCCUCCUCCUGUCAGUAGUGAUGAACUGAUGAUCAUGCUCCCAGCUAAGGUCAACCCGCCACUACAUCCCAUUUAAUCGUCUUGUUUUCUCUUUUCAUUGGCUCAUUCCCACAGAUAUACAAAUAUGCUUUUGUUUCCCCGUCUUGUCUUAAAAAGGAAAAAAAAAUCUUUUUUGAAUACACUGUACUCCCCCAUUA